UUCAGCACAAAGUAAAAUGGAGCGGGUAAGGUCAUUGAACCCAACAGAAUACUAAACAAGGAGAUGAAGCCAAGCAGUAAGAAGAAAACAAAUAAACAAUCUGCUUCUCUGGAAAAUGCAAGGAGGGUCAAAAAGCAUCCUUGGUCUCCCACGGAGGUUGCUGCGAUAAUGAAGUAUUUUGGCGAACAUAUCAAAAAAGGAAAACUGGCCACUAUUAUCGAAUGCCAGCAAUGCAAAACUGCAGAAGAUCCUGCUCUGGCUGGUCGUUCUAUUCAAAACAUCAGAGAUUUUGUGAGGAAUCGGGGCGUGUCGUUGAAGAAAAAAGAAAAUCCUAUGUAGAGGAGUCUACAUAACUCCAAAGUACUUCUUGGAGGAGUUACAAAAGAUAUUUUGUAUGUUUUGGUUUCUCAUUUAUUUAUUUUAGAAUUUUACUAUUAGAAGAUUGGUAAAUUCAUUUUGUUGACACUGUUUUAGUGCAUCUGAUCUAAGAGGACAUAUAAUUUUAUAUUGCCAGUUAUUUUCAUUUCUGUUAACAAAACAAUCCUGUUUUUGUAAAAUGCACUCAAUUUGUUCCUUUUAUUCACCUGUUGCCCUUUUAAUACACACAAAAUACAUGUUUGUGUAUGUGUAUGGCCUUUGUCCUGUUAAUAAAGUUAGCCCUGACAAUUACUGUUCAUGUCAGGGGGAGGAGCCAAGUUA